rnacentral:misc_RNA from 1 species
AACCAUAGAAACCUGCGGAGUACCUGCGGAGGGAUCAUUAUAAAAUUUUUCUUGCAUAUUCUUUUAAAAUGUGUAAAAAAAAAUCUUGUAUUCAAAACCCACACUCUUUUUAAAACCUAUAAUAAAAAAAUUUUUAUAUGUUUAUAUACAUGAAAUUUUUUUAUUUAAAAAUAAUAUAAUAAAAAGACAACUUUCAACAACGGAUCU